CUACAGAAUGCUCCGAUCAACCCGAGGACCACAAUGCAUCUGGAAACCCUCCAGAUGAAUUGAAAGUUGGAAAAGAUGAUGUUGCUGGGACGUCGGCAGAAACUUCAGAUCAACUCAAAAGAUCCCAGGACCAGGAUGCACCUGAUCAAGAGAAGUUGGAAGAUGGAAAGGGUGAAGUUUCUGCGACGUUUGCAGAAAGUUCCUAUCAACACCAGGACCACAACGUGUCUGGAAACCCUCCAGAGGAGUUAAAAUGUGGAAAAGCUGCUGGAACGU